rnacentral:lncRNA from 1 species
UUUCAAAUCUCUCUCCUUCUCCACGCCAUCUUUCCUUCUUCCUCUCUUUCCAACACCCAAGAGUUGCGUGUCCCAUCUUCUCACACACCCAAGUUGAAGAGGGUGAUUUGCUUCUACAUCAAGAAUGAGGAGAAAGGUUGCUGUUCAAGUGUUGAGCUUGUGGUCAAAGAUCAAAGAUUGAUCAAAGGUUUAAAAGACUAAGAACCUAUUUGGAGAAGAAGGAUCUACAACAAGAAGAAAGGUUCAAGAAUGAUUUUGGUGGAUACCUGUA